AGAGUUUGAGUCCUGGGCUCAGGACGAACGCUGGCGGCGUGCUUAACACAUGCAAGUCGACGAAGCUUGAUGAUUGAUUUCUUCGGAAAGAAAUUUGAUAUGACUGAGUGGCGGACGGGUGAGUAACGCGUGAGCAACCCUGCCCUUCAGAGGGGGAUAGCGUCUGGAAACGGACGGUAAUACCGCAUAACGUACAAAGGCCGCAUGACCAUUGUACCAAAACUGAGGUGCUGAAGGAUGGGCUCGCGUUGGAUUAGAUAGUUGGUGGGGUAACGGCCUACCAAGUCGACGAUCCAUAGCCGGACUGAGAGGUUGAACGGCCACAUUGGGACUGAGACACGGCCCAGACUCCUACGGGAGGCAGCAGUGGGGAAUAUUGCACAAUGGGGGAAACCCUGAUGCAGCAACGCCGCGUGAAGGAAGACGGUUUUCGGAUUGUAAACUGCUUUAGACAGGGAAGAAGAAGUGACAGUACCUGUAGAAUAAGCUCCGGCUAACUACGUGCC
rnacentral:rRNA from 2 species